rnacentral:rRNA from 1 species
GCCGGCAUCUAGCUCUCUACAACUCACACGGUCGCCCACGGAAGCUAAGCAGGGCUGCACCCGGUAAGUUCCUGGAUGGGAAACCACAUGGGAAAGCUAGGUUUAUACCGGAA